rnacentral:rRNA from 1 species
GGCGAACGCUGGCGGCGUGCUUAACACAUGCAAGUCGAACGAAGAGCGAUGGAAGCUUGCUUCUAUCAAUCUUAGUGGCGAACGGGUGAGUAACGCGUAAUCAACCUGCCCUUCAGAGGGGGACAACAGUUGGAAACGACUGCUAAUACCGCAUACGAUCUAAUCUCGGCAUCGAGGAUAGAUGAAAGGUGGCCUCUACAUGUAAGCUAUCACUGAAGGAGGGGAUUGCGUCUGAUUAGCUAGUUGGAGGGGUAACGGCCCACCAAGGCGAUGAUCAGUAGCCGGUCUGAGAGGAUGAGCGGCCACAUUGGGACUGAGACACGGCCCAGACUCCUACGGGAGGCAGCAGUGGGGAAUCUUCCGCAAUGGACGAAAGUCUGACGGAGCAACGCCGCGUGAGUGAUGACGGCCUUCGGGUUGUAAAGCUCUGUUAAUCGGGACGAAAGGCCUUCUUGCGAAUAGUGAGAAGGAUUGACGGUACCGGAAUAGAAAGCCACGGCUAACUACGUG